CCUACGGGAGGCAGCAGUGGGGAAUAUUGGGCAAUGGGCGCAAGCCUGACCCAGCAACGCCGCGUGAAGGAAGAAGGCUUUCGGGUUGUAAACUUCUUUUCUCAGGGACGAAGCAAGUGACGGUACCUGAGGAAUAAGCCACGGCUAACUACGUGCCAGCAGCCGCGGUAAUACGUAGGUGGCAAGCGUUAUCCGGAUUUACUGGGUGUAAAGGGCGUGUAGGCGGGACUGCAAGUCAGAUGUGAAAACCAUGGGCUCAACCUAUGGCCUGCAUUUGAAACUGUAGUUCUGGAGUGCUGGAGAGGCAGACGGAAUUCCUAGUGUAGCGGUGAAAUGCGUAGAUAUUAGGAGGAACACCAGUGGCGAAGGCGGUCUGCUGGACAGCAACGGACGCUGAGGCGCGAAAGCGUGGGGAGCAAACAGGAUUAGAUACCCGAGUAGUC
rnacentral:rRNA from 1 species